CAAAACUGGGACUGCAAGGCUAAUCUGUCGCCUGCCUGCCAUCAUGCUUGCCAUCUUAACAGUCUCAGGACGAAUGGAGUUUUCUACCUUGGGGAACACAAAGACACACAAUCCAAUUGAUAAGAAUGCUGCUACAUAUGUUUCAUAUUUCUUGUCAGACCUCACCCUAAGCUUAGAGAAUAUAGUUUCUUGAUCAGUCGACCACCUCGUCGUCUCGAGAAUAACUCCGUCAGGAUUAUGUGUUGACUUUAGGCGUGCAGAUUUAUUUUCCUUUCGCAGCGAGUUAGGUCUUAAUGUUUUUUAUACCAAAAACUUGUCCACUUGCUGAAGGAGACCCUUUGGGUAGCACCCGUACCUUCCUUAAGUUGAUGAAAUGCGGCAAAUAAAUACUCACAAGAUCGAGGAAUAAAUCUAACUUGUUUUUCAUUCAAACCGAUGAGUUCUCUUGUCUCAGGUACCACGUCUUCGUAUGGAGAACCCGUAAUGGGCAAAUCCCCAAGGAUAUGUAAGUCCCAAAGAGAUAUAGAUAGCUCCCCAGCUGAUGUAAGAAGUGUAUUCGUCUUGGGGCACCAAGCCUCACAAAAUGCUUGGAAAAUGUUCGAGUUUCGAUCAUAAGUGAAAAGUGAGGCAUAGACAUCAUCGUAAAUCUUUGUUGUACUCAGAGUUUGUUGGGUUCCACCAAGCACGUUUUCAACCCAUUCCCAAUAUCCUGGGAUAUGACGAUACUCGUCCUCGAUUGUUGUUGCGUUCCCCAAUGUACUUCUCCUUGAAUUAUGCGACUUCCUAAGUUUGGAAGGGUGCUAGCAAUAUUUACAUGACGAUGGACUGGCGCUUGGAGAGACCACAUCUUGGAUAAUGGAUUAGAAGUAGAUUUGUGCUCCAAGGUCCAGCUCUCUACAUGAAGGGAGUUCCUUAG
rnacentral:lncRNA from 1 species